GUGGAUUAGAUACCCUAGUAGUCCACGCUGUAAACGAUGUCAACUAGCCGUUGGUCCUAUUUACAGGAUUAGUGGCGCAGCUAACGCAUUAAGUUGACCGCCUGGGGAGUACGGCCGCAAGGUUAAAACUCAAAUGAAUUGACGGGGGCCCGCACAAGCGGUGGAGCAUGUGGUUUAAUUCGAUGCAACGCGAAGAACCUUACCUACCCUUGACAUCCAGAGAAUCUGUGAGAGAUCGUAGAGUGCCUUCGGGAA
rnacentral:rRNA from 1 species